rnacentral:rRNA from 1 species
CCCCUAGAUGUUCUGGGCCGCACGCGCGCUACACUGAACAGUUCAACAAGUCUUAACCUUGGCCGAUAGGUCUGGGUAAUCUUUGAACGCUGUUCGUGAUUGGGAUAGACCUUUGCAAUUAUGGGUCUUCAACGAGGAAUUCCUAGUAAACGCAAGUCAUCAGCUUGCAUUGAUUACGUCCCUGCCCUUUGUACACACCGCCCGUCGCACCUACCGAUUGAAUGGUCCGGUGAAAUCUCGGGACGGCGGCUUGGUCGCUUGCGUCCGACUGCUGAAACUUGAUUAAACCACNUNAUUUAGNGGAAGGUGAANUCGUANCA